rnacentral:rRNA from 1 species
AUACGGAGGGGGCAAGCGUUGUUCGGAAUUACUGGGCGUAAAGGGCGCGUAGGCGGAUUAUCAAGUCAGAGGUGAAAGCCCUGGGCUCAACCUGGGAACUGCCUUUGAAACUGAUAGUCUUGAGUCCGAGAGAGGAUGGCGGAAUUCCCAGUGUAGAGGUGAAAUUCGUAGAUAUUGGGAAGAACACCAGUGGCGAAGGCGGCCAUCUGGCUCGGUACUGACGCUGAGGCGCGAAAGCGUGGGGAGCAAACAGGAUUAGAUACCCCGGUAGUCC